AUUGAACGCUGGCGGCAUGCCUUACACAUGCAAGUCGAACGGUAACAGGUCUUCGGAUGCUGACGAGUGGCGAACGGGUGAGUAAUACAUCGGAACGUGCCUAGUAGUGGGGGAUAACUACUCGAAAGAGUGGCUAAUACCGCAUGAGCUCUACGGAUGAAAGCAGGGGAUCGCCAGACCUUGUGCUACUAGAGCGGCCGAUGGCAGAUUAGGUGGUUGGUGGGAUAAAAGCUUACCAAGCCGACGAUCUGUAGCUGGUCUGAGAGGACGAUCAGCCACACUGGGACUGAGACACGGCCCAGACUCCGACGGGAGGCAGCAGUUGGGAAUUUUGGACAAUGGGCGAAAGCCUGAUCCAGCAAUGCCGCGUGCAGGAUGAAGGCCUUCGGGUUGUAAACUGCUUUUGUACGGAGCGAAAAGCCCCGGGUUAAUACCCUGGGGUCAUGACGGUACCGUAAGAAUAAGCACCGGCUAACUACGUGCCAGCCGCCGCCGUAA
rnacentral:rRNA from 1 species